rnacentral:rRNA from 1 species
GACGAACGCUGGCGGCGUGCUUAACACAUGCAAGUCGAACGGAAAGGCCCUGCUUUUGUGGGGUGCUCGAGUGGCGAACGGGUGAGUAACACGUGAGUAACCUGCCCUUGACUUUGGGAUAACUUCAGGAAACUGGGGCUAAUACCGGAUAGGAGCUCCUGCUGCAUGGUGGGGGUUGGAAAGUUUCGGCGGUUGGGGAUGGACUCGCGGCUUAUCAGCUUGUUGGUGGGGUAGUGGCUUACCAAGGCUUUGACGGGUAGCCGGCCUGAGAGGGUGACCGGCCACAUUGGGACUGAGAUACGGCCCAGACUCCUACGGGAGGCAGCAGUGGGGAAUAUUGCACAAUGGGCGGAAGCCUGAUGCAGCAACGCCGCGUGCGGGAUGACGGCCUUCGGGUUGUAAACCGCUUUCGCCUGUGACGAAGCGUGAGUGACGGUAAUGGGUAAAGAAGCACCGGCUAACUACGUGCCAGCAGCCGCGGUGAUACGUAGGGUGCGAGCGUUGUCCGGAUUUAUUGGGCGUAAAGGGCUCAUAGGUGGUUGAUCGCGUCGGAAGUGUAAUCUUGGGGCUUAACCCUGAGCGUGCUUUCGAUACGGGUUGACUUGAGGAAGGUAGGGGAGAAUGGAAUUCCUGGUGGAGCGGUGGAAUGCGCAGAUAUCAGGAGGAACACCAGUGGCGAAGGCGGUUCUCUGGGCCUUUCCUGACGCUGAGGAGCGAAAGCGUGGGGAGCGAACAGGCUUAGAUACCCUGGUAGCCCACGCUGUAAACGGUGGGUACUAGGUGUGGGGUCCAUUCCACGGGUUCCGUGCCGUAGCUAACGCUUUAAGUACCCCGCCUGGGGAGUACGGCCGCAAGGCUAAAACUCAAAGGAAUUGACGGGGCCCCGCACAAGCGGCGGAGCAUGCGGAUUAAUUCGAUGCAACGCGUAGAACCUUACCUGGGUUUGACAUGGAUCGGGAGUGCUCAGAGAUGGGUGUGCCUCUUUUGGGGUCGGUUCACAGGUGGUGCAUGGCUGUCGUCAGCUCGUGUCGUGAGAUGUUGGGUUAAGUCCCGCAACGAGCGCAACCCUUGUUCACUGUUGUCAGCACGUUAUGGUGGGGACUCAGUGGAGACCGCCGGGGUCAACUCGGAGGAAGGUGGGGAUGACGUCAAGUCAUCAUGCCCCUUAUGUCCAGGGCUUCACGCAUGCUACAAUGGCUGGUACAGAGAGUGGCGAGCCUGUGAGGGUGAGCGAAUCUCGGAAAGCCGGUCUCAGUUCGGAUUGGGGUCUGCAACUCGACCUCAUGAAGUCGGAGUCGCUAGUAAUCGCAGAUCAGCAACGCUGCGGUGAAUACGUUCCCGGG